UCCGGAAGCUCGCAGGUGGCCGCGCCCGGGUGGCCGAGGGGAAGGCCCUGGGGGGCGGCCUGAAUCCUGGCGCGCGUUUGCGGACUGACCCUGUGCGUGACAAGGUAACGGCCGCUCAGGAGCCCGCCUGCAGGAGCCGGGGCCGCUUCUCCCGCAGGGGCUACUCGGUGUGCUGGUUCCGAAAAGCCGCGGGCGCAGAGGUACCCUGGAAAGGGUCAAGCAGAAGAAUGGCACCGUUUUACUUCAUGAAGAACCAUUCUGUGAAUGAACUAUUAUUCAGCAUAAGCAAUUAGUGUAAAUAUAACUUGAGCAAAGAUUUGGAAAAGCUGAAAACAUUUUUGUUAAUUCAACCUCUGCAUAGAAACCAAGAAAAUCUCAGAUUUGAAGCUGCAAGUAUGAUUCUAAGACAAGGACAUGUACCCUUGGAAUGCUACUUGAUUUUUGCUGGAUAUUUAAAGGUCAUGUCAAGUAAUACAAACGUGCAAAAAUACCGACUCUGAAAUUUUAAGUGAGUUUGAAGAAGACAACUUCAUAGGGGUAAAUACUGUCUCAA